CAGGAUGGUAACACUUUUAAGAUAACUUGAGAUAUGCCAGGAGCAACGUGUGCUGUUGCAAAUUGUGAUAACAGCCAUUGUAAAACAAAGUCAUUAGACAGGAAAGUCAGUUAUUUUAGAUUUCCUAAAGAUCCAAUAAUAAGAAGAAAAUGGAUCCAUAACUGUAAAAGAAAAGACAAAUUUAAUCCUGAUUCUUGUCAUGUUUGCUCUGAUCAUUUCACAGAAAAUGAUUUUGAGAGAAAUUUAAAAGCUGAAUUAUUAGGUUUAUUG